rnacentral:rRNA from 1 species
AACGAACGCUGGCGGCAGGCUUAACACAUGCAAGUCGAACGCAUCCUUCGGGGUGAGUGGCAGACGGGUGAGUAACGCGUGGGAACGUGCCCUUCAGUUCGGGAUAACCCAGGGAAACUUGGGCUAAUUCCGGAUACGUGCGAGAGCAGAAAGAUUUAUCGCUGAAGGAUCGGCCCGCGUCUGAUUAGCUAGUUGGUGGGGUAAUGGCCCACCAAGGCGACGAUCAGGAGCUGGUCUGAGAGGAUGAUCAGCAACAUUGGGACUGAGACACGGCCCAAACUCCUACGGGAGGCAGCAGUGGGGAAUAUUGGACAAUGGGCGCAAGCCUGAUCCAGCCAUGCCGCGUGAGUGAUGAAGGCCUUAGGGUUGUAAGGCUCUUUCGUCCGGGACGAUAAUGACGGUACCGGAAGAAGAAGCCCCGGCUAACUUCGUGCCAGCCGCCGCAGUAA